rnacentral:rRNA from 1 species
UGGGGAAUCUUGGACAAUGGGGGAAACCCUGAUCCAGCCAUGCCGCGUGAGUGAUGAAGGCCUUAGGGUUGUAAAACUCUUUCGCGCACGACGAUAAUGACGGUAGUGCGAGAAGAAGCUCCGGCUAACUUCGUGCCAGCAGCCGCGGUAAUACGAAGGGGGCUAGCGUUGUUCGGAAUUACUGGGCGUAAAGCGCGCGCAGGCGGCUCUUUAAGUCAGGGGUGAAAGCCCAGAGCUCAACUCUGGAAUUGCCUUUGAAACUAAAGAGCUUGGGUACGGGAGAGGUGAGUGGAAUUCCGAGUGUAGAGGUGAAAUUCGUAGAUAUUCGGAAGAACACCAGUGGCGAAGGCGGCUCACUGGCCCGUUACCGACGCUCAGGCGCGACAGCGUGGGGAGCAAACAGG